GCAGUCGUGGCCGAGUGCUAUGGACUAGAAAUCCAUUGGGGUUUCCCCGCACAGGUUCGAAUCCUGUCGACUGCG
rnacentral:tRNA from 2 species